rnacentral:lncRNA from 1 species
CAACAUUCAUGGCAUGCUUCGCCCUUUUAGAAGGGUGAAUUGAGAAAUCAAGAAUUAUUCCGAACCCUAUCAUUCCCCCUAGUUGGAAAUGGUCUAAGAAUUUCAUUUUGGUAUGAUCGAUGGAUGGGCGAUCUACCACUGAAAGAAAAGUUUCUGAUCCUUUUUUCGAUGGCUAUGAAUCCUAGAACCUCUCUCAACAGCAAGACCUCCUCACAAAGUUUU